CCCUUAGAUGUUCUGGGCUGCACGCGCGCUACACUGAUGCAUGCAACGAGUUUCUUCCUGGUCCGAGAGGAAUGGGUAACCUUUUGAAAGUGCAUCGUGAUAGGGAUAGACUAUUGCAAUUAUUGGUCUUCAACGAGGAAUUCCUAGUAGACGUAGUUCAUCAGACUGCAUCGAUUACGUCCCUGCCCUUUGUACACACCGCCCGUCGCUCCUACCGAUUGAAUGCUCAGGUGAGCCAUUCGGACUUUCAUCAUGCUGGUUUCCAGUUUUGAUGAAGGAAAGUCUUGCGAACCUUAUCAUUUAGAGGAAGGAGAAGUCGUAACA
rnacentral:rRNA from 1 species